UGAAGAAAGAAACCUCAGAUUGU
rnacentral:piRNA from 1 species